rnacentral:lncRNA from 1 species
UAAGUUUAGCCGCUGGUGUAAUGGGGUAACCAUGGCAACAACCACCUGCCUAUUUAAAACCAUCUCCAAUGCUAAAUAAGGAAGCCCAGAGAAAAUGGCUGCUUGCCUGCCUCUCAGUGGACAAACUGAGCACUCCUAGGUGUUUUGGAGACUGUGUAAGCAGGCAGGAUGGCAGCACACAGUCCCCAAGCCCUUAAGAGCAGGGCUUUUGUGACCUUGUGAAACAGGGGCUGCCUCUAGGUAUCUUCAUUUCUUAGAGAAUCCUGGGCGCCAACUGAAAGUCAAUCCAUUUGGUUGGAAGAUCAAGCCUCAGUUACCGUCCAGCUUCCUCCCCACCUGCCUGAGGUCGGAGGUGGGCUCCAGGGGUCCCCACGAGAUAGUACAAGAAAGGACAGAGAAAGGCCAGAAAUUGGCCAAGAGAAGAAAAAGAAAGAAGGAAGGUAGGUGGGCAUUUGAUAAUCCCAGGGGUAGCUAUCUGGUACCAACUCAAUUCUGGCAAAUUCUCUCUGCAUUCAAGAAGGAUCUGGUUUGAAAACGACCUGCGUUUCUUUCUCCGUCGUUUUCAAACCUUACACCCAGGCCGCACGCGGGGCCCUGGCUGAGGCUGGCGCAGGGCCUCUCUGCUGCUGCCCCCUGCUGUCUGGGAGGGCAGAGCGACUCCCUGCCUGUUCCCUUCCGAAAAGCUGAGCCUCCUGAACUGUGAACCCUUCUCCUCCCCAGGAAAAAC